rnacentral:rRNA from 1 species
UGGCUCAGGACGAACGCUGGCGGCGUGCCUAAUACAUGCAAGUCGAGCGAGUCUGCCUUGAAGAUCGGAGUGCUUGCACUCUGUGAAACAAGAUACAGGCUAGCGGCGGACGGGUGAGUAACACGUGGGUAACCUGCCCAAGAGAUCGGGAUAACACCUGGAAACAGAUGCUAAUACCGGAUAACAACAGAUGAUGCCUAUCAACUGUUUAAAAGAUGGUUCUGCUAUCACUCUUGGAUGGACCUGCGGUGCAUUAGCUAGUUGGUAGGGUAACGGCCUACCAAGGCGAUGAUGCAUAGCCGAGUUGAGAGGCUGAUCGGCCACAUUGGGACUGAGACACGGCCCAAACUCCUACGGGAGGCAGCAGUAGGGAAUCUUCCACAAUGGACGCAAGUCUGAUGGAGCAACGCCGCGUGAGUGAAGAAGGGUUUCGGCUCGUAAAGCUCUGUUGUUGGUGAAGAAGGACAGGGGUAGUAACUGACCUUUGCUUGACGGUAAUCAAUUAGAAAGUCACGGCUAACUACGUGCCAGCAGCCGCGGUAAUACGUAGGUGGCAAGCGUUGUCCGGAUUUAUUGGGCGUAAAGCGAGUGCAGGCGGCUCGAUAAGUCUGAUGUGAAAGCCUUCGGCUCAACCGGAGAAUUGCAUCAGAAACUGUCGAGCUUGAGUACAGAAGAGGAGAGUGGAACUCCAUGUGUAGCGGUGAAAUGCGUAGAUAUAUGGAAGAACACCGGUGGCGAAGGCGGCUCUCUGGUCUGUUACUGACGCUGAGGCUCGAAAGCAUGGGUAGCGAACAGGAUUAGAUACCCUGGUAGUCCAUGCCGUAAACGAUGAGUGCUAAGUGUUGGGAGGUUUCCGCCUCUCAGUGCUGCAGCUAACGCAUUAAGCACUCCGCCUGGGGAGUACGACCGCAAGGUUGAAACUUAAAGGAAUUGACGG